UACAGAGGGUGCGAACGUUGUUCGGAAUUACUGGGCGUAAAGCGCACGUAGGUGGCGACGUAAGUCGGGUGUGAAAGCCCCGGGCUCAACCUGGGAAUUGCAUUCGAGACUGCAUUGCUGGAGUACGGAAGAGGAAGGCGGAAUUCCCGGUGUAGCGGUGAAAUGCGUAGAUAUCGGGAGGAACAUCAGUGGCGAAGGCGGCCUUCUGGUCCAGUACUGACACUCAAGUGCGAAAGCGUGGGGAGCAAACAGG
rnacentral:rRNA from 1 species